AUCGAAUUUCUAGUUGCAAUUCUCUGUCCCUUGGCUCUGGGCAGGAAAGGGGGGGACCGGUGGCGCGGGGAUUGGGGAGGGGCUAAAGAGGGGGGAGUCUCCUCGCCCCCUCACCCUCCCUUUCCUCCUUGUCCCGGCCCUGAGUGGCCGCCCCAGAAGGGGUUGAGAGAAUGUUGUUGGCUGGGACACACCCGAGAGGGCACAAACUGAAGGAAGCGAAGAGACGUUGCCGGGGACCCAGGACCCUCUCCUCCCAGUUCCCCCCGCCGGGUCGGCCCCGACUGGCCACACCCUCUUGUAGCGCCCACUCGGCCCCGGGCAGUCCCGGGGCGAGAAGUCGGGCCCCUUGUCCCGGGCGCUUGAAUGUCCUCUCUCCGGAUCACUGCUUCGGCCCACACUCUGGGGAAGGUGCUUCCCUGGGGCUCGCUCUGGAUCAGGCGCCUGCGCCCUCAGGGGCACCCUUCCCACGCCGACUGCCGAGUUUGCGCCCCUCCUGGGACGGUUUGAGAGGCGAACAAACUUUUGAAUGGAUAAAAAUCAAGAGAAGUCCGUCCGGAGCAGUCCUGAUGAUCGCCCUCACAUCCCCGCGGCUCAUCCCAGAAAAUCUUUUCCCACCUCAUCCACCUGCUGGCCUGCCCCUGGCCACGGGGGCGGAGUUGCUGGUGCCCCCAAGGUCAUUCUCUCCCAGGAGAGGCUGGUCGGCUCUUGGCUCUCAGCUGUCUCUCCCAGGAAUCUGCCUGACCAGCCCGGCCCAAGCCCUCCACAUCUCAGCAAAGAAGGGAGACGUCUCCUUCCAGUCCUCAGUGACGGGGAUGCAAACUGUGUGCCUAAAGCAGCUGCCUUGCCUCCACUGGCCCCUCAGGGAAGGAGGGAACCGACUUCACUUCGCAGGAUCUGGACUCCCAACUGGCAGAGCUGACAGCUGCAGCCACAUCUGGAGCCUGACACCGAAGGAAGCUUCCACCACCGGGCUCUCCCUGCUACCUCGGCCCAUGCUCAUUCCGCAGUGUUGUGGUUUUCUCCCUCACUCCCGGGGCGGGGGAGGUGGGGGCGCGCUAGGGAAAUAAAAUGUCCGUCCCCUUCCCCCUAGUCCUUCCCCGUGCCCCCGCCAAGCCUUAAAGCUGCUGAUGGUAAUCAACGGCAGCUCCCAGCCCGGCUCACAAGUGACUCACAGUGAAUUCAGAUUCUCUUCUGGGUGGGAGGGAGGACAGGUGCUCCUUCCUCAGUCCUCCCUCGCUCAUUGAUCCAUUUUGAAGGUCACUGGGGGUCAAAGUUGAGACCAGAUUGCUUCAAUUGGUAUAAAAUUAGGAUUUUUAAAAGUCAUACCGAAAGCCCAGAUUUCUCACAUCAAGGAUAGGAAGUCUCGGGGCACCAGGCUGGCUCAGUCGGUAGAGCAUGUGACUCUUGAUCUCAGGGUCAUGAGUUCAAGCCCGCAUUGGACAUAGAACUUAAAAAAAAAAAAAAAGGAAUAGGAAGUCUUUACCCAGACCCACACCUCUUCUCUGGCCUUUCAAGCCAGUGAUGAUAUAAAGGCUCGUUGAGGUGAAGGAAUAGAAGGGAAAUGAGCAAUUUCCUCCAUCUGCGAGUCAGCAGCAUCAGCGGUUCAUUCCACUAAUGUUUAUUUAGUACCUACUAUGUGUGAAGCAUCAUCUCUCCCUCAGUUUGUCAUGACUGUCAAGAGCAAUUCCUGCCAC